CGUCCCGCCGCCGAUACUGCUGGAGGCGCAGCCACGGCCGAAGAUGGAGCCACCGGCGCCGGCGCCAGCGAUUACGAGCCUGGAGAAGUUCGCCGGGAUCCGCCUCCUCACUCUCGCUCUGCUCGGCACGACGGCCCUGCUGUAUAUAUUGCCUGGUGCAAGAAUUUGGGUCUUGAGGAUGGCUUGUUGGAACUGUUUUGAUUAUUUAAGAGGUUUAAAUAUGUGUGGAGAACUACUUGAUGGAUAAACAAGAUUACUGAUAUAAUGAUAUGUUCCACUGAACAGCCUUGGGAUGUGUGCUUUUGUAAGCUACUAUGGGCACGUGAUGUCAUCAAGUAGACUUUUGCUUAUAGAAAUUUAACAUUGUUACAUGGUAUCUGGAAAACAAUGUCUUGCCCAUGAGAUGCGAAGAUGUCCUGAUGGUGGCAGAAUUUUCGGUUAAAUUAGUUUUCAAAGUCAAAUUCGUUAAGAUUUAUUAGUAGGCCAAAAAAGCUGUUACGGUGGUGAGGGAGAGGAAUGAAGGGUAGCAGCAAAGCUGGCAAUGAACACUAACUUUUACAAUCUGUUGAUUUCAAUAUUAUGGUAAUGAAUAAUAGAGGAUACAUUUUUAUUUUGGGAUCUGAUGUGGUUUCAGAAACUACAAAGGUUAUUGAAGAGCUGACUGAAACUGGGGUUGUUAUAAUGUGUUCUGUUCUUAAAUGCUGGAUCUUGUAGAUCAUUUUAUAGCAAGUAUACUACUGGCAAGAAAGGAAUAUAUCAGCGGUGAGCAGACUGAAAGUGGAAACAAAGUUUAGUAGUGUUAUAUCGACUAUUGAUCAUAUGGGAUGUAACUGCUUUUACCUGGUGGGAUGUUCCUUUACUGACCCUUUUAAGGUCUGCAUGGUCAAAUCUUCUGGCUGUAUUUUUGGCUUGGUGAUGGAGGGACUAUGGUGCGUAACUUAAGUAGUUUCAUGUGCUUUGCAUGAGCUUAUGAACUCUGAAGAUUUCUGGAUAAAGUUUGAGUUGAAUGAAGUUUGUUUCUGAAAUAUUUGGUGCUGUCUUCUGUACUGCAGUAUUUGUCCACUACUUUCGAGCGAAACACAUGGUGCAUUGCCAUUUCUUGUUGAAUUGUCAUCUGGCUUUUAGUCAUUGUUCGUUUAAUAUUUGCUUGAUACGUAGGGUCUACUUAUUUUAAAUGUAUGAUUGUUGCAACAUGUAGCACUGAAUCAAUUUCAAGCUAGCUGGCUUGUCCCGGUGGUCUUGAGUAUGAUCUUAGGGGUGAGUAAGUGCUGUAUUUCUUGUUCGUAUUCUUGGCAAGGAGAUGCUUCAGCAAUCGGCAGUGGUUACUGUUGACAUGAUUUUAAUUGUGCUUGGAAUUUCUGGGCUUGCAAAAAUUGGCUUCUGUAGGAACUGUUCUUGGUGACAUGACAUCUACUCUUUGUGAUUUGGUGUUACAAUCCUGAGCUUCACUGGUUUCUUUCAGGAUAUAGAAAGCGGGCAGGUUCUGUUUCUCCUAUUCGUAGAAGGGAUGCUCAUCGUCGUUCUAGUCCAGGUUUUGAAACCUUUGGUUCAUCAAG